rnacentral:rRNA from 4 species
CUCUUCCCAUUCCGAACAGAGAAGUUAAGCCUUGUCACGCCGAUGGUACUGCGUCACAGUGGGAGAGUAGGUAGCCGCCGUUU